AGUCUCUAAUUAAUGCUUUGGCAAACAAAAAGUUUAAAGAAUGAAAGACACACACAAGAGACUUAGCAGUCAAGAGUAAAGUUAUUCUGCAUGUCAAUUUCUCAUCAUUGUUGUUCAAGUCCAGAGAUAGCCUAGGAAUAAUAUCCAUCUUAUUUAGUGACAGAGGUUUAUCCUGUUUCAGCAUUAGAUGGUGUAAAGUAUAUUUCAGCCCUCAAGAAGCCUUGUCCUCACAUCUUGAUUUUCCUUUUUUCUUUUCAAAGCUCCAGCCUUUCAUCUUAUGACAUUACAUAGACGUCCUUGUAUGUAUCUUCUUACUUGCUGUCUCAAUGUCCAAGCAUUUCUUGCACGGUGUAUCCCAACAUUCUUACUUCUCAAUUUUAUUUAAAGUUCAUGGGCUAGACCUACAUGAUAUGAAUGCGUUGUUUAUAGUUUAGAAUUUAAACAAUAUAAUCCUACAUUGACAGAUUCAAUGCAACAUUUUCCCAAAAGCAAGAUACCGAUUCAUUGAUGUUUGACACUAACGCACAUAUUAUUUUCAUUUGUUACAGAUUCAGUUGGUGAAUAUAUAGCUCAGGGAGCAUCAUCCCCUUUUUUUUUUUUUUUUUUUUUUCUAUCAGAUCCCAUAUUUAGUCAAAAGAAUUUCAAUGAAAUAUAUCACUUGCAUAUAUUGCAGCUUUGGAGGGGAAUGAAGCUGUGUAACGGUUAGCUUCAUUGCAGUUUGGGGACAUCUCAUAACUUAUUGUGUUCUUCUAUUCUUCGCAUUUUACAUGUCCUGUUUUAAUAUCCCUCUAUUCACACGAGGAAGGGCAUGUCAAAUUACACCAGGGGUUAGUCAGUAGUUUUCAUCCGGAUCAUCAUACCAGGGGAAGAUCACGCAUAAGUUGGGGAUAGUGCUAUUGGGUUUCCUCAAAGACAUGUACUAGCAGAUUAAUUAAAUCAGGGGUCAUUAGGGGGAAAAAACAAAAAAAUAAAAUAAAAUGACAUAUCAGUAGUGUACAAAACUCAGAAUCUGAAAAUUUCCUCCCAGAUGCAGAUUGACCGUAGUUGUUUGAUUUUUCAGUUUCCUAUCAGU